GGUGUUUGUGGCCACGGGAGAACUACUCCUUACAAUUUUGCUUCACAGGCAUGUUACAAAGCCUGCACUGAAAACCGUUUGUCUUCCCUCUCUCCCUCCCUCUUUUCCCUGUAGUAUUGAGGAUCAAACCCAGGGCCUCAUGAAGACCAUUUUCUAAGAGACAUUUUAUUUAAGAAUCAACUAUAGAGUCUAUGUUUAUGGAUACAGCCAGUUUUUGUUAAACAAAACCUGAAUUGUGCAAAAGGGUUUUUUAACAUUUAUCAAUGUUAAGUAAAAGAAAGCCAUGAUAAAUAAGAAUUAACUCACUGUUCAAUGGGUGUUUCCUGUGAGGAAGGUUACAGUUGUAACAGCCUGCAGUUGCAUACAUCUCCAAAGAUUUACAGACUUAGUGUAUCAAAUCAGAGUGUCAUGUGAGCUCUCACAUUGAAAAUUCUAUAGGAAUGUGUCAAUGUGAAUUCUAUUUCUGGUACUUAAGAAAUCAGUUGUUGGAUUAUCCUUAUACAGUAUAGGGAGAUCACAAUACAACUUUAUGCCAAUAAAAUCUAACUUAAUUGCCCAGAUAUUUUUGCAUAUUUAGCAACAAGAAAAGCUUAUCAUUUGACUCAAGUUUUAUGCUUUCUCUUUCUUUUCAUUUCCUAGGUACUAAUUUUAAUUUUUAUUUGGAAGGAGCAGUGUAAAGCUUACUUGUAUUCAAUAGUGUAUCUCAUAGAUACAGACAAGGCCGCAGAGAUAAGCUGUUAAAUAGUGUUUAAUGUUGAUGUGGAGAGAAAGGUGUAUUACUUAAAAAUACUAUACCAUAUACGUUUUGUAUAUCAUUAAAUCUUUAAAAGAAAUUAAAUUUAUUCUUGUUUACAG
rnacentral:lncRNA from 1 species